rnacentral:rRNA from 1 species
UCCACUUCUCUUUUAUGCACCUGUAAGCCACGAGGACUUUCCAUUGGCAAUUAACAGCCAUGAUAUCAAAUAACAAACCCCCUCACAAGAAAAACUUAAUUAAACUUCUGUUAACCUAACACAAGGGCAUACCAAGAAAGAUUAAAAGAAAAAGAAGGAACUCGGCAAAUAUGGAUCCCGCCUGUUUACCAAAAACAUCGCCUCUUGCCCAUAUAAGAGGUCCAGCCUGCCCAGUGACUUAUUUAACGGCCGCGGUAUCCUGACCGUGCGAAGGUAGCAUAAUCACUUGUUCCUUAAAUCGGGACUAGUAUGAAAGGCAUCACGAGAAUCCAACUGUCUCCUGUUUCUAAUCAGUGAAAUUAAUCUCCCUGUGAAAAAGCAGGGAUAACACCGCAAGACGAGAAGACCCUAUGGAGCUUUAAACUAAGAGACACCCACUUUGUCUCUCUAAACCUUCCGAAAAAAUUAACUAUAAAAGUAGGCUGAUCUCAAGUUUUUGGUUGGGGCGACCGCGGAGUAAAUACACCCCCCGCAAUGAUAAGCAUAACCUUAAGUUAAAAGCUACACCUUAAAAAUCAGUACACUGACAUAAUUGACCCAAUAUUUUGAUCAACGAACCAAGUUACCCUAGGGAUAACAGCGCAAUCCGCUUUAAGAGUACAUAUCGACAAGCAGGUUUACGACCUCGAUGUUGGAUCAGGGCAUCCUAGUGGUGUAGCCGCUACUAAUGGUUCGUUUGUUCAACGAU